UACGUAGGGUGCGAGCGUUAAUCGGAAUUACUGGGCGUAAAGCGUGCGCAGGCGGUGAUGUAAGACAGAUGUGAAAUCCCCGGGCUCAACCUGGGAACUGCAUUUGUGACUGCAUCGCUGGAGUGCGGCAGAGGGGGAUGGAAUUCCGCGUGUAGCAGUGAAAUGCGUAGAUAUGCGGAGGAACACCGAUGGCGAAGGCAGUCCCCUGGGCCUGUACUGACGCUCAUGCACGAAAGCGUGGGGAGCAAACAGG
rnacentral:rRNA from 1 species